rnacentral:miRNA from 1 species
CCUGCUUGUGGGGCUGUAUGCAAUC